UCAGGUAAGUCCUGAUGCCUCUCCCGCUGCGCCAUUGCCGCAUUCCCUCCCCGAAUCUGAGAAGCCCUCUGAUCUCAGGGGAAGUGCAACCUCCAAG
rnacentral:ribozyme from 1 species